rnacentral:rRNA from 1 species
UACGUAGGGUGCGAGCGUUGUCCGGAAUUAUUGGGCGUAAAGAGCUCGUAGGCGGUUUGUCACGUCGGCCGUGAAAACCUGCAGCUUAACUGUGGGCGUGCGGUCGAUACGGGCAUCACUGGAGUUCGGCAGGGGAGACUGGAAUUCCUGGUGUAGCGGUGAAAUGCGCAGAUAUCAGGAGGAACACCGGUGGCGAAGGCGGGUCUCUGGGCCGAUACUGACGAUCAGGUGCGAAAGCGUGGGGAGCAAACAGG